rnacentral:rRNA from 1 species
UUGGAGGGCAAGUCUGGUGCCAGCAGCCGCGGUAAUUCCAGCUCCAAUAGCGUAUAUUAAAGUUGUUGCAGUUAAAAAGCUCGUAGUUGAAUUUCGGGAUCAAUAUAUCGGUCGUGCCUUGGUACGUACUGGUAUCAUUGGUUUCUCCUUUCUGACGAACCAUGAUGUCAUUAAUUUGGUGUUAUGGGAAGUUAGGACUGUUACUUUGAAAAAAUUAGAGUGUUUAAAGCAGGCUUUAGCUUGAAUACAUUAGCAUGGAAUAAUGAAAUAGGACGUUCGAACCUAUUUUGUUGGUUUCUAGGAUCAACGUAAUGAUUAAUAGGGAUAGUUGGGGGCAUUAGUAUUCAAUUGUCAGAGGUGAAAUUCUUGGAUUUAUUGAAGACUAACUACUGCGAAAGCAUUUGCCAAGGAUGUUUUCAUUAAUCAAGAACGAAAGUUAGGGGAUCGAAGACGAUCAGAUACCGUCGUAGUCUUAACCAUAAACUAUGCCGACUAGGGAUCGGAUGAUGUUAAUUUUUUAAUGACUCAUUCGGCGCCUUACGGGAAACA